UAAAUUUCAAACAGAAAUUAGUGGCUAGCAAGGUAACAGCUAAAUACCAUCUGCAUCAAUGCUAUCUAUCUGUAUCCUCUUUCUGGUGUGGGGCUUUAGACACAACUCCCACAGAGAGGAGGACAGAAACAGAGACUGGAACUGCCAUUGAGACUGCCUGUCUCACCCGUGAUUGAGGCAGUCUGUGGGAACUGGACCAGCAACUUGAUUGUUAUGUCUGGGCAACCAACUGCAGACCCCAGAGACCACGCACAUGGCUAAGCCAUGUUAGCAGAGCCUGGAGGAGAUCCUAUGACCAAGAAGAGAGAGAGCUGCAGGAAGUCAGAUUGGAACGGAAAAUAAGUAGCCUCAGAGUGAUUUUGUGCAGUAGAAGGUGAGGCUGAGAGAGCCCCAUAUCAGCAUAUUCCAUAGUCAGGGCACUGACCUGAGAGGUAGCAGAUGUCUGGACAAAAUCUCUUUUCCUCAUCAGACAGAGGAGGGACUUGAACCAGGGAUAUCCCACAUCCUGUGCCUGACCCUCAUCUGUGGUUAAGAUAUUGACCCCUGCCAUGUGACAACCUUCUGUAACACUUAGUGCUAGUUGAGAAUUUUCUGACAAAAUAUUUGUCAGAAAAUGCUGGUUCCUUGAAACUGAAACUUUUCCUGGAAACAUACUGGUUUUGUCUGAGCUUUCACAAGGAAGGUUUCCUCAGGUCCAGGAUGGAGUGUGGCGGGACACCCAGGUUCAAGUCUUUGCUGUGCCUGAAUUGGAAUCAAGUAACAUUUACAGUAACGGCAACUGCUGUUUGAAAGGAGAUUUUCCUGGUAAGAUGCCAUUUAAAAUGCCUGUACCCAGAAGGAAAUAGGAAUAAAGAAGAGGACUUAAUUGUCAUUUUCAUUUGUUUCCUCUUGACUUACACAAUAUUGGUGUAUAGUUAUCAGGUUGCCAAUUUACAGACAUUCACCCAUCUGGAGAAAGGACAGUUGUGGAAUUGCUGUAGGACAGUGGCAGGAUGAUGUCAAAGU